AGUCCAUUGAGUGCUGUUGUGCAGUCGUCAAGGCGUCUUUGUUUUAGAAGGAUAUCCGGACUUUCGCAGCUGCACCGCUACAUUAAAUUUUUGAAAAAUUGUACGGUGGGUUUUUCGUCAGUAACAACAAUUUACAGACACCGAGCAACGAGGAAACUAGAUACCGUACACAUACUGCAAACCAGAGUUCAAAGGUCGGAACUGGUUGGCCCCCGACCCUCAUUCACUCUCCAGAUGUAGAGGUGGUGGAGAUUUAUGGCAUUCUUACGUUUAAUGGCAGCGUAACUUACAAUCCACGCUUGUUUGGAGUCAAAGCUUUGGCUCGUUUAUAAGACGAUCUCUCUCUUUUUUCCUUCUUUACCCAUUUAAAUUUGUAAUUGCGGAAGAAACGUGUAACAACAAGCUUGUGCAAUCAAUAAAAGUGGAUGACGGCUCGGAAUGGCUAUCGAACCAAAGUGGAUCUAUACCACUACACGUGCAGAAUGAUGGCUGCUGUUAUUACUGUCAUUGGAAAGAAGGCAUUACUGUCUCUGACUCUUGUUCCGUUUUAUGUCUUUCCAGUCGAGUCAAUAAUAUUUUAUAAGAACGACAAAUUAAGAAUUCCCUACGUAUAAAUUAUUAAAACGUUUGGCCAAGAAGUAACGAGAUAAAAAUCGUUCCGAAUGUGUAUGUGUGUGUGUGUGUGUGCCCCUUAAUGCGGCUUGUGGUAUACUAUCCGUGCACGAAUCCCGUCUUAGCUUAUCUAUAUAAUCUCACCCCCGACUUUAGCAGAAAUCUCAUCCCUGACUCAGUUUAUGCUUUGCAAAAGACUGGUUCUGCCAGAGGCCACCAUUGCAACCUGCAGCUUUGUAAAGUAUUCUCUCACGCCUCCAACGUGACGAAGCUGACCAAAUUUCUUCGACUCGUGCCUCAAGUUUUAAGAUGUUACCGAAGAGAGAUCGAGUUUGUGUAUACGCGGAAAAAAUCUCUUUUGUGCUAAAGCAAAAAAAAAAAAAACAUGACUAGUAUGUAGGACACAAACGGCGUGAUGGGCGUUAUCUGAAGAGUGGCAUCCUCCAAUGUCAACGCACUUAAUUAUUAUUAGCGGAUCGAUACGACUAUAUCAUUCUAACACAAUGCGAACAAAAACGUCUUUUAAAACUGUCGACGCGACGUUAACCAUUCCAGCUACUUUGGUCUUGUUAAAAUCUGCUGCUAAACUUGGAUAUAUAGGAGAGUGAUUACCUUCUUAUCUCGUCACAUAGAGAGAGAGAGAGAGAGAGAGAUGUGUCCCGCACUUAACAUGUCC
rnacentral:lncRNA from 1 species